UCAUCCACCUGCCUUGGCCUCCCAAAGUGCUGGGAAUACAGGUGUAAGCCACUGCGCCUGGCCACCACUCCACCUACCUUUUAAGUGCUCUAAUUAUUUAAAAAAAGUUUAUCUUUCUAUUUAACUGAAUCUGCCACACAGAAUAUCGCUUUGCUGAUGGGGAAUCUUUUAGGUAUUUGACAAGAUUACUCUGCCUUUUCACGUCUUUCAUUUUCCAGGUUAUGGAUCAUCAGUUCAUUCAACUGUUCCUUAGAUGACGUGGUUUUCACUUCCAUUAUCAUGUGUUGCUGUCAUCCCACUGCUGAGCAGGACACAGUCCCCGGUGAAGAGUGAUCGGUGGGCACUUUACAAUAGUGUUGGUUUUGUUUCCCAGUGUCUCAUUUGCUGUAUUAGAAUGAUUAAAACACAUUAUUAUGUUAUUAUUCCAGAUUUGAUUAAUAGAACUUUGGGUGACUCAUAUAGUAGAGUCGUACCUAUGUGACAGCAUAAUUGGAUCCAAAAUGAAAAAUUCAAUCCACAUAGGCUUUUAUUUUAAGUUGUACCAGAUGACAGGUUUAAUUAAUAGUUUUCAUUGGAUUUUAGCCAAUCCAUUUACCUGAAUUUUUCGAUCAUGUGUUAACAAUGUGUAAACCUAAUGUUAUGUUUCUAAACAUCAUUUCAACCUACAUCUAUUUGGCAUGCUCAGAUUCUGCCAGAAGCUGUGUUAAGUACUAGGGACUUAUUUCUGGAUGGACAAUAAUACAAGGCCCAGCCUUUGAGGAGGAAUGAGAUAUACAAAUUUGUCUCCUAAAAAGGAAGUGCAGACUACCUGGGUCAAGGAACUUAGGGUUCUUAGCUGAUGAAAUGAGUACUCGUCUUCUGGGAAGGCACUCCAGAGGGCAUGCUCUUUGGUCCUAUUCUUGCCGAUCCUCUCCCAUUUAAUACCAUACAUUGAAAUUUUAUGUACUUCUCAAGGCUCUGCUCAGAUGCCUUUCUGCUGUAAGACUGGUCCUCAUACCCUAGCCCGUUUAUAUUCUCUCCUUCUUCCAAACUUCUAUGGCAGGUCACAUUAUACCUGAAGCAAGGUAAGGUUAUUUUCAUACCUGACUAGUCUGCUCCCAUUUGCUUCCAUAGUGCCCAGUCAAUAUUAGUUUGAUUGAGAGAAAACUGUAUUAUAUUUAUUUUUAAUUUUUAUUCCUAACCGCUAGACCACCAAGAAGAGAGAAAAGUAUUUUUUUUUUAGAUAGAACACCUCUGCUAGUUAGGGAAACAAGUUCUAUUUUGAUCUAGACUGCCAAGAGUAUUACUUUUUCUGACUCAGUAUUUUCAUGCAAAGCCAUUGUUCCAUCAGUCAUUUUAAGAGAAGUCAGUUUUGUAUCUAUAGUUAGAUGAUUGCCUACAUACAGAGCACACUUUAAUGAUGAAUUAGAGGAUUCCAAGGUUGCCUUUUAAGUGAAUAUAUACAGAUACUUUCUUUUCUUAUAAAUACUGCAUAGAAACCAAGUUACUCUAUGUUUUGAAAACAACUUCUAGUAUUCUUUGGAUGUAUGGGAAAAAGUCCUCAGGUUAAUUUCCUUAAGGAAAAGCAUCAUAAAUUCAAAGACUGCUUGUUGAAACUGAAGAUCACUUUCUACUGAGUCACCAGAUGUUGAGCAAUAUGAUUUAUAUCAAUAUGCCUUGUGAAAUUGUCAAGUUAAAGAUUGUACAUAUUAGAGAAGAAAAUUUUAUGUCCCUGUAGAGUGACAGGUAUCUUGAGGUUUUCCUGGAAAUAUUAAUUGAAUU